rnacentral:rRNA from 1 species
UACGUAGGGGGGCUAGCGUUGUCCGGAAUCAUUGGGCGUAAAGCGCGUGUAGGCGGCCCGGUAAGUCCGCUGUGAAAGUCGGGGGGCUCAACCCUCGGAUGCCGGUGGAUACUGUCUGGCUAGAGUCCGGAAGAGGAGAAUGGAAUUCCUGGUGUAGCGGUGAAAUGCGCAGAUAUCAGGAAGAACACCCGUGGCGGAAGGCGGUUCUCUGGGACGGUACUGACGCUGGAGACGCGAAAGCGU